CGGAGGCGAGGCUUUCGGCGGAAGUGAACUCUCCGCCGCUUCGAGCCUGGGAAGAUGCUGCGUCGUGUGUGGCGGUGGCUGUGCUUCGGCCUGGGCAGCCUCCUGGCGGGGCAGGCGGAGGCCCCGAGCCCCGUGGAGCCGCCGGAGCGGAGCAGGCCGUAUGCCGUGCUUCGUGGGCAGAACCUGGUGUUGAUGGGAACCAUUUUCAGCAUCCUGCUGGUGACCGUGAUCCUGCUGGCAUUUUGUGUCUAUAAACCCAUUCGGCGUCGGUGACAGCCGAGCAAACCAGUUCUUCCACGAGUAUUUGAGAAAAGAAUAAAUUGUGUUGCACGUGGGUCAUUGGAGAAGUUGGAAUCAGCACCUUCCUGCUUGGAGAUGACCUUCAGUCUGGACUGUUGUCAAAUGUGAAAUGAUUUAGAAAAAAACAACUGGCAGUUAUUUUUUCCUAACACUGUAAUGCAAAUAAUUGGGUCUGCUUCUCAGUGUUUCUUUUUGUACCUGGCUGCACUUACACUUGUUACAAGGAAAACCUGAAGCUCCAGGUUUCGUGUAGAGAUGAGAAGACAGUAACUAUGUGAGCAGUGUUAAAACCACACUGGGAAGGUCUGAAUGUUUGAAAAUACUCAUUAGAAGUAGACUUAACACGUAGACAUUCCCUUCUUAGAAGAACCAUUUGGUCACAGUGGGGUUAAGAAUCGCAUAUGUUUUUAAUCACACUGAGUUGGCCUAGAAUGCUCCGGUUGCAGAGCAGUGUCAGCUGUGGGGAACUUAGGCUGUCACUCCUCAUGCUGCAUCGACUCUGCACUCAAAUGCCCCCGUUCAGGUCAGGGUCACAUCACGUAGGCCUGUGACCGCACGCACCUUCGGCUGGAAGGUUCUGAGUUAGACUGGAAACGUUACUGGUUGGUCUAUCUGAAAAAGAGCUCCAUCCCACCGAAACACAUUGAUCUCCCUUGGGCUGCGCUUAAGUCUUUCUAGGUGGUGGCCUAAAACUUGUGGCAGCUUUGCAGAUUUGGAACCUAAAAGAAACUCAGCAGGAACUCUUUUUAGCCCAGGGUGAGGAGGUUCUCAACCAACAGAAGCGUGUGUUCAUUGUAGGAGGCAAAGUGGCAGGUGGGUGUGUGUUUGCACAGAUUUAAUUUCAACCUCGAAAACGCUGCUAUUUUGCACUGUUAGACUGGAUUUUUUUUCCUAUUGAAAUGAUACAAAGUGGUUAUCAGUAUUUAUUUUAAGGGUGCUAAGUUUAAUUUUUUUAUUAAAUUGAAAUGCUUACCUUGUACUUCAGUCACAGCACUGAUUUUUUUUUAAUCUGCACUAAAUGUGAAAUAACUAAUGUGGGAUACUGUAACUGUUUGACUUAAGGAUUUUGUUUGUAACCCUGACGUUGAGCCAUUGAAUGUUCACUGUUGAGCAAAGUGUCAAUUAAAGUAAACCUUAACAUGCUGUUUUA